rnacentral:rRNA from 1 species
UUCCUCCGGGGCGCAGCAGUGGGGAAUAUUGCACAAUGGGCGCAAGCCUGAUGCAGCGACGCCGCGUGCGGGCUGGCUGCCUUCGGGUUGUCCCCCGCUUUUGUUCCCGGGCCCUGCCCGGUCUUUGGCCGUGUUGCGUGGAUUGUUCGAAUACGCACCGGCUCCCUCCGUGCCCGCCGCCGCGGUCCUCCGUCGGGUGCCCGCGUUCUCCGGCUUUCUUGGGCGUCCCGGGCUCGUCGGCGGUUCGUCGCGUCCGGUGUGCCCGUCCCUCGCUUCCCGGUGGCUCCGCGCCGG